CUUUCACCUAAAUCUUACACACUGAACCUUUAAUGAAUUUUGUCGCUGUAUCUUGGUCUAAUUGAGCACAACAUUGAUGCCUUUAAUGCUGUCUGUCUCUGUAUUUUUAACAGUUCAUCAGAGAGGAUGAUGGGAGCUCAUAUGUAGUCAGUGGGAGUGGGGUGGUCAGCGAUCCUGACACCACUCACAAGGACAGUGUUCCUCAGUCCUGGCAGCUCUACUCCAGUCCUGUCAAUCACACAAUAGGAGGCGUGGCUUACUUCCAGGUCACUGAGCAUAAGAUGACAGUCACCUUCAUGCAGACUAAUGGGAAAUGUGUUUACCGCACAGAGCUGCCAACACGUAUAGUCAGAAGUAAUGGAAUGCUCUAAAACUGAAGAUAUGAUUACUGAUAUCUUUGGGCGAUGGCAUGUUACUAUUAAGUGAAAUGUGUAUAUAUUAAGUGUAUAUUCAAAGUAUUUUGUACUGUAUGUAAUGUAACAAAAUAUAAACUGUUUUAUGUCUUUUGUUGUGCAUUGUAUUUCAUGAUGGAGGCCUCAAUGUGCAGGAUGAAUUAUAGCUCUACUUGCAUACAAGUAAGUAGUAGAGCAAUAGUAGAGCCAAGUAGAGCAUUGUUAGGUUUGCAACCAAAACAUCUGCUCUGCCAUUUUCACUCAAAAUUGGACCAAAUUAAUAUUUGAUUGUCAUAUUACUGCUUUUAUUUGUUCAAGUUUGUAUUUACUUUGCUUGCUUUUCAGUCAAAGCACUUCCGUUUUUUAAAGUGCUAUAUGAAUAAAGUGUAUUACUAGUAGUAGUAGUAGUAAUAGGAAACAAAUCCCAGAUUCAGUGAUGGAAGCAGUGAACAGAACCUCAAAAAACAUGGACGAUUUGAGUAGUAAUGUAGACGAAUUUCUGUCUCUGUAUGGCGCUGGUGUUUUUCCCGAUUUGGGUCCUCUACAACAAGCUCAAUCUUUGAUUUUGCUGGCUAAAGCUACAACAACACUCUUUGCAUUGAGGCUUAGGUGUAAAGGGAUCAACCCAGAUGACCGUCCUGUCAAAUUAGAGUUUGAACGUUUGAGCUUGUUCCAAGAGAAAUUGCAGGAAUUGAUGGACUUGAAUAAAGCGCCAUUGCGACCAUCAGCAAGGAUAAAUCCGCAAGGUGCUGCUCGAUUUAUCGAGCAUUCGUUGCCUGAUCUUACACCUGAGCAGAGAAAAAGCAUGAGAGAAAUCAGUAAAGCUGACGGGCCUAGGAUUAAGUAUCUGGAAAGAGUUGUUCAUAAGAAGAGGAAGUAUUCCGACCAGCAAUCUGUUCGAACUGCUACCCAGGAGUUCCUUGAGAAAGCUGCCCGUGAACUUCUUGGUGAAAACCAGAGUGGUUUUAAGGGACCUUUACAACUGCCAGAGGGUGAUGAUGAAGACAUACCUAUGAGCUGAUUUUCUGAGAUUCUCUUCUGCUGAUGAAGCCAUGCAGGUGCGCACCAGAUUUUGUGCUGAUGAGCUUUUCAAGCAUUUUGUUCCAGUUCCAACAUAUGAUGAAGAUACUCGGAUCAUACACAAGCUUUGCAGCAAUUGCUACUUUAGCCGCUAAUCGUUGAUGCAAGUUAUAAUUUAAUAGAGUCUGCUUUCGGUUUUCAGCUAUGAAUCCAAAGUUGCUCCGUUUUUCUGUAAGGUUUGUUUAUUGUAAGAGAAAGCUGGCAGUUACAUGUACAAUAGUGCAGCAGAAACUAGAAAUUAUCUUUUUUGUAGUUUCAUUUGUUUUCAAUAGAUCCUGUUGCAGUAGCAGCUAAAAGCUGGGAUUUUUUUUAUUACACUUUCUAUGACAAGAUGAUUAUAUGGUCAGUGUAGAAGAAAAGCAAGCAUGUUCCAGAUUCAGCUUUCAAUAGUUUUGUAUUGUUGGUACGGG
rnacentral:misc_RNA from 1 species